rnacentral:rRNA from 1 species
CAAGUCGAACGGGAAUCUUCGGAUUCCAGUGGCGGACGGGUGAGUAACGCGUAAGAAUCUAACUUCAGGACGGGGACAACAGUUGGAAACGACUGCUAAUACCCGAUGUGCCGCGAGGUGAAACCUAAUUGGCCUGAAGAAGAGCUUGCGUCUGAUUAGCUAGUUGGUGGGGUAAAGGCCUACCAAGGCGACGACCAGUAGCUGGUCUGAGAGGAUGAGCAGCCACACUGGGACUGAGACACGGCCCAGGCUCCUACGGGAGGCAGCAGUGGGGAAUUUUCCGCAAUGGGCGAAAGCCUGACGGAGCAACGCCGCGUGAGGGAGGAAGGUCUUUGGAUUGUAAACCUCUUUUCUCAAGGAAGAAGUUCUGACGGUACUUGAGGAAUCAGCCUCGGCUAACUCCGUGCCAGCAGCCGCGGUAAUACGGGGGAGGCAAGCGUUAUCCGGAAUUAUUGGGCGUAAAGCGUCCGCAGGUGGUCAGCCAAGUCUGCUGUCAAAUCAGGUUGCUUAACGACCUAAAGGCGGUGGAAACUGGCAGACUAGAGAGCAGUAGGGGUAGCAGGAAUUCCCAGUGUAGCGGUGAAAUGCGUAGAGAUUGGGAAGAACAUCGGUGGCGAAAGCGUGCUACUGGGCUGUAUCUGACACUCAGGGACGAAAGCUAGGGGAGCGAAAGGGAUUAGAUACCCCUGUAGUCCUAGCCGUAAACGAUGGAUACUAGGCGUGGCUUGUAUCGACCCGAGCCGUGCCGAAGCUAACGCGUUAAGUAUCCCGCCUGGGGAGUACGCACGCAAGUGUGAAACUCAAAGGAAUUGACGG